UCUGCAACGACUGUAACAGUGUAACCGCCACCGUCACCGCCAUCAUCACCGAAUACCGACUCAUUUCCAAUUUCCACAGUAUCUCGAGUCCUCGACUACCUCGUAAAGUCGUAACGAAUAACGACKCAACAGUAAGUUGGUUCGCCGGCAUUGGACGUUGAUGUCACGCAAUAAACUGAUUACUAACACCACUGUAGCUCUGCGACCAGCCGGAGCCGAGCCGCGUUCGGUAUGGUACUGUGGUGUGCAGCGUACCGGCUUUGUUAUGGACAGGUUCGUGAUUCGCCUUUAAUCUCUCAACUUCAAUGUUAUCCUUCCUUGCCGGUACUGCUUUUCUGUCGACCUUACCGCUUAAGUAUUUACCAUGUUCUCAGUUUCCGUCAACUCCGAACCGACAGUGAUCGUUUUCCGUUAGUUAUGUGUCAUCGGUCGGCAUAAGAUUUAUAAUAAUAACAAUUAAUUAUACGACGCACAAUAAUAUUCUAUUUUAUUAUUCUCAUCGUCUAUUGAAACCGGUGUCGAUUUCGCGUCUUGUGAAAACACGUGUUUAUGCUCGUUUUGUUUAUUUUAUCUGUAAGUUAUGUAAGGUUAGUUGUUGGUCUAUCCUCGUUUUUGACGGAGAUUGGCAAGAAAUUAUUAAUUUGGUGCCAGUGAUUUCAGUAGAGACUACAGAGUCUAGUAGUGAAUACUGGAGACGUUGAACAAAGACUACGUGUCUACGUCCAGAUCAAGGCGAUAGUUGUUCGUCAUGCGUAGUAUCUGGAUUGGUUAUUUUCCUACUGAAUGUUCCAUAUCUUUAGUACAACUCCAAGCAAGUGAAAGCCGUGUAUUGCUUCAGAAUUCAGUGUAUGCAUUAGUUUAAUAAUUCAUCGUUGUGAUAUUUUGCAUGUCGUUUGAACACUUUAAACAGUGGCUUGUGGUACCUAUGAUAUCUUAAGCUGUAUAGAGGCAUAUAUCAAUUGACACUUAUCAUUGAUUAUAAAUUCAAAAUCAAUCAUGUGUUUGUCAUUAAUAUUAUCGUAAACAAAAAUUCACUAUUGAGAUCUACUGUCUUCAACAAUUUGUAUAAUAAACAAUCAUCAUCUGGAUCACUGGCAGGCCGCAUACUACAAGGCCAACAUUACCUCCAACACAGUCACUCACACAGCAAACGACUUAAAACCCAAUUUGAUUAAGUCUAUCAAAUAAAUCAAUCAAAAUUUGUUUUGUCAUCUUAGUAUCAAAAUCAACAAAAAUGGGCUGCUUCCAUUUUGAAGCAAUUCCACGGGCCAUGACCACCUGAAA